GUCUCGGUAGCUCAAUUGGCAGAGGAAUGGACUAAUGAUCCAGAGUCGCGAGUUCUAUUCGAGCCUCGCCCGAGACA